AUAAAUACGUGAUUCCACGCGCAAAAGGAGCGUAGAGACAUAAAUUUUUUAAUUAAAAAUAAUUAAAAGAAAAAGAAAAUUGAAUAAAAAGAGAAAACAAAAUUAAAAAUAAAUGUUUCACUUGUUUCUUCUUCCCCCACCCAUCCACGUUUCUUUUUUCCUAUUCAACCAUCACUUUGUUCUUCCCCACCUAGACCUCCAUUUUUCUCUUUCUCCAUUUCCUCGCUCCUUUACAAUUUCUUUUUCUCUUUUUUCUUUUUCGUUUUCUCUUCCCCCAAAUUAAAAAUGAAAUUGUGCAAAAAAAGUGAACAUAAUCAGCAAAGGAAAAUUCAGAAAAUUGAUGGGAUAAACAUAGUUGUCGGAAGAAAUAUGUCUAAUGAGAAUCUUGACCUCUUUUGUUGUCAACAUUGUUCUUGAUUUGUCAUUUUUUUCAUUUUUCUAGGGUAAAGUGUCAAGAUCUGAUAGUUUUGAAUGGUGAAAAGUAAUUGUUGAAUAUUUUUAUGAAAUUAGAUGAAG
rnacentral:lncRNA from 1 species